rnacentral:rRNA from 1 species
CCCAGCGUACGCUGCCUGAAAAGGUAGCGUGCUCUGGCCCUGCCCACCUGAAUAUUCUACCCAUGUCUUUUGCGUACUAUUUGUUUCCUUGGUGGGCUUGCCCGCCAAUAGGACAACCUAAAAACCUUUUUGUAAUUGCAAUCAGCGUCUGAAUAAUUAUAAUAAUUACAACUUUCAACAACGGAUCUCUUGGUUCUGGCAUCGAUGAAGAACGCAGCGAAAUGCGAUAAGUAGUGUGAAUUGCAGAAUUCAGUGAAUCAUCGAAUCUUUGAACGCACAUUGCGCCCCUUGGUAUUCCAUGGGGCAUGCCUGUUCGAGCGUCAUUUGUACCUUCAAGCUCUGCUUGGUGUUGGGUGAUUGUCUAUCUUUUUAGACUCGCCUUAAAGUCAUUGGCAGCCGGCAUAUUGGCCUGGGAGCGCAGCACAAGUCGCGCUUCUUGUCAUGAAUGUUGGCGUCCAGUUAAGUCUACAUAUUUUGCUCUUGACCUCGGAUCAGGUAGGGAUACCCGCUGAACUUAA